UACGUAGGGGGCAAGCGUUGUUCGGAUUUACUGGGCGUAAAGGGCGCGUAGGCGGCAAAUUAAGUCAGCUGUGAAAUCUCCGAGCUUAACUCGGAACGGUCAGCUGAUACUGAUCUGCUAGAGUGCGGAAGGGGCAAUCGGAAUUCUUGGUGUAGCGGUGAAAUGCGUAGAUAUCAAGAGGAACACCUGAGGGGGAGGCGGGUUGCUGGGCCGACACUGGCGCUGAGUGCGCGAAAGCCAGGGGAGCAAACGGG
rnacentral:rRNA from 1 species